rnacentral:rRNA from 1 species
UGAGCGGCAAAAGCUCAAAUUUGAAACCCUCGGGAUUGUAAUUUGAAGAUUUGGCAUUGGAGAAAGCUAACCCAAGUUGCUUGGAAUAGUACGUCAUAGAGGGUGACAACCCCGUCUGGCUAACCGUUCUCCAUGUAUUGCCUUAUCAAAGAGUCGAGUUGUUUGGGAAUGCAGCUCAAAGUGGGUGGUAAACUCCAUCUAAAGCUAAAUACUGGUGAGAGACCGAUAGCGAACAAGUACUGUGAAGGAAAGGUGAAAAGAACUUUGAAAAGAGAGUGAAAUAGUAUGUGAAAUUGUUGAUAGGGAAGGAAAUGAGUGGAGAGUGGCCGAGGUUUCAGCCGCCCCUCGUGGGCGGUGUACUGCCGACGCCGAGUCAUCGAUAGCGAGACGAGGGUUACAAAUGGGAGCGCCUUUCGGGCGUUCUCCCCUCCACACUGCCACCGACGACAUAAUCCACCCAUUUCACCCGUCUUGCCA